AUGCUGUGUGAGGCCUCCGUGAAACAGGGUUAAUACAAAGCAUUACAUUUCUCAAGGUGGGCCCCCUGCUAUGUUGACAGAAUCUGUUUCCUUUCUCAAGGUCUCUUAUUCCUGCGUCACAAUCUGGUAGGCCCCUGUGAGGACAUCUUGUCUGCAACCCUUUCUGGGCCAUGGGUUAGUUGUUAAGGGUUGCACGUACACAUAUAGGAGGAUAAUAAUAUGAUAAAAUACACAGAUACACUCUAACAAGUAUGGUACAAAAAUAUUGUUUGGCAUAAAUCACUUAGUAAUGUCUUUUUACAUUAAAAAAAUGGUCCAGACAUGGUCAUU